AUUGAACGCUGGCGGCAGGCCUAACACAUGCAAGUCGAGCGGAUGAGAGGAGCUUGCUUCUCGAUUCAGCGGCGGACGGGUGAGUAAUGCCUAGGAAUCUGCCUGGUAGGGGGGGACAACGUUUCGAAAGGAACGCUAAUACCGCAUACGUCCUACGGGAGAAAGCAGGGGACCUUCGGGCCUUGCGCUAUCAUAUGAGCCUAGGUCGGAUUAGCUUGUUGGUGGGGGAAUGGAUCACCAAGGCGACGAUCCGUAACUGGUCCGAGAGGAUGAUCAGUAACACUGGAACUGAGACCCGGUCCAGACUCCUACGGGAGGCAGCAGUGGGGAAUAUUGGACUAUGGGCGAAAGCCUGAUCCAGCCAUGCCGCGUGUGUGAAGAAGGUCUUCGGAUUGUAAAGCACUUUAAGUUGGGAGGAAGGGUUGUAGAUUAAUACUCUGCAAUUUUGACGUUACCGACAGAAUAAGCACCGGCUAACUCUGUGCCAGCAGCCGCCGUAAAAC
rnacentral:rRNA from 1 species